rnacentral:rRNA from 1 species
GAGUUUGAUCGUGGCUCAGAUUGAACGCUGGCGGCAGGCCUAACACAUGCAAGUCGAGCGGAUGAAGGGAGCUUGCUCCUGGAUUCAGCGGCGGACGGGUGAGUAAUGCCUAGGAAUCUGCCUGGGUAGUGGGGGAUAACGUCCGGAAACGGGCGCUAAUACCGCAUACGUCCUGAGGGAGAAAGUGGGGGAUCUUCGGACCUCACGCUAUCAGACGAGCCUAGGUCGGAUUAGCUAGUUGGUGGGGUAAAGGCCUACCAAGGCGACGAUCCGUAACUGGUCUGAGAGGAUGAUCAGUCACACUGGAACUGAGACACGGUCCAGACUCCUACGGGAGGCAGCAGUGGGGAAUAUUGGACAAUGGGCGAAAGCCUGAUCCAGCCAUGCCGCGUGUGUGAAGAAGGUCUUCGGAUUAUAAAGCACUUUAAGUUGGGAGGAAGGGCAGUAAGUUAAUACCUUGCUGUUUGACGUUACCAACAGAAUAAGCACCGGCUAACUUCGUGCCAGCCG